rnacentral:lncRNA from 1 species
UCCUCAAUGGCAUCCUCAUUACCACAACCACCUCCUCUCCCCUCUCUCCACUUCACCUUCUCUCCACUCUCUUGAAAUCCUAACAUUUUCACUUCUUCACUCUCCCUCUCACUCUCUUGAAACUCUAACAUUUUCACUUCUUCACUCUCCCUCUCACUCUCUUGAAACCCUACCAUUUUCACUUCUUCACUCUCCCUCUUACUACUCAACACAUACCACCUCUCCCACUCACUCAACACCACCACCACCUCCCCCACUAACUCAACACCAUCACCAAGUCCCCCACUCACUCAACACCACCACCACCUCCCCCGCUCACUCAACACCACCACCACAUCCGCCCACUCAACACCACCACCACCUUCACCCACUCAACACCACCACCACCUCCGCCCACCACCUCUAUCGUUUCUCUUUCUUCUUUUUUUUUUUUCAUUUCUUCUUCUUCUUCUUCUUCUUCAAAUCCGAAAAACUCUCACUCAACACCACCACCUCCCCCACUCACUCAACACCACCACCUCCCCCACUCACUCAACACCACCACCACCUCCCCCACUCACUCAACACCACCACCACAUCCGCCCACUCAACACCACCACCACCUCCACCCACUCAAAACCACCACCACCUCCGCCCACCACCUCUGUCGUUUCUCUUUCUUUUUUUUUCAUUUCUUCUUCUUCUUCUUCUUCAAAUCCGAAAAACUCUCGCUCAUAGCUAGAAAAAAUUUCAAACACUAAUAUUCAAAACAAAUCUCAAAUACUCAAAACCCUCUUAAUCUUAAUUUCUAUUUUUAGAUAUGUUUGUUUAAUCUGUACUUUUUUAUUUGCAAAUAGAUAUUAGUUUAUUUCUUUUAGUUUUUGUUGAUGCAUGUCUUUAUUUUUGAAGAUUUAUGUUUUUUGUUUGAAGAUUUAAGUUUCGGAUUUGAGAUAUUUUCUGGUUUUUUCAUUUUAUUUUCAAAUAUUUAUGUUGUGUUUGUUAAAGUAUGAAUAAACAAGAAAAACAAGUUUUUUUUUGGGUUAAUAUUUUCCUAUUUCUUUUCUUAUAUGUAUAGAUGAACUGUGUCUCUGUCAUAUCUCAAACACUAUCUCCCUCAUAUUUCAGACACUAUGGUUUGGUUUUGUUAAUUUCCAAGAUUAACAUGUUAGUUUAGUCGUAUUGUCUGUAUUUUUUUUAUUUGCAAAUAGAGUUCUGUUUGAUGAGUUUAUUUCUUGUAAUUGUUACUGUAUGUCAUUAUUUAUUAUUAUUGGAAAUACUAAUGAAAUUAAUUAAUAUAUAUUUUUAUUUGUGAAUAGAGAUUUAUUUGAUGAGUUUAUUUCUUGGAGUUUAUUUGAUGAGUUUAUUUUCAAUAGUAAAAAUAUUAUUUUUAUUAUUUAAGAUAAUAAUAAAAUUAAUUAAUAUAUCUUUUGUAGUUUUGUUACUGUAUGUCAUUAAAUUAAUAAAUUAUUAUUUAUGUCAUUAUUGUACUAUAGAUUAAUUAAUAUUUGUUAUUGUGUGUCAUUAUUGUACGGCAUAUAUUAAUUAAUAUUUGUUACUGUAUGAUAUUAUUGUUAUGUCAUUAUCGUAUUUACUUUCCACUAAUUUUUGUUUUUUCACUCAAUAUUUUCCCUCCACUUAUUUUUACUUUUCACUCAUAAUUAUUUUCACUUUCAGUCAUAAAAAUAUUCCCACUCUUUUUA